rnacentral:rRNA from 1 species
UACGUAGGGGGCAAGCGUUGUCCGGAUUUAUUGGGCGUAAAGAGCGUGUAGGCGGCUUGGCAAGUCCGCUGUGAAAACUCGAGGCUCAACCUCGAGACGUCGGUGGAAACUGCCUCGCUAGAGUCCGGAAGAGGAGAGUGGAAUUCCUGGUGUAGCGGUGAAAUGACGCAGAUAUCAGGAAGAACACCCGUGGCUAAGGCGGCUCUCUAGUACGGUACUGACGCUGAGACGCGAAAGCGUGGGGAGCGAACAGG